rfam:Trachymyrmex cornetzi contig41405, whole genome shotgun sequence.
AUCUUGUAUGUCCAGUUGUAUUUUAUUUAAAGAUUCUUCUGCAUAAUCCUUCAUUAUCAUUCAGACGUUCGCAAGAGUCUGGACAGGGGGGGGGUUUUUAGUGGGUAGGCGAUACACAUGUCGAAUCCCACACACCUCGGGGUACGGACCCCGGGGCGUCUUGCGAAGAUUUUCCCCCUCCUACGUAA